AACUAUGGCCAUGCCACCCUGAACGAGCCCGAUCCCGUCUGAUCUCGGAAGCUAAGCAGGGUCGGGCCUGGUUAGUACUUGGAUGGGAGACCGCUUAGGAAAACCAGGUGCUGUAGGCA
rnacentral:rRNA from 1 species